rnacentral:rRNA from 1 species
GUCUAUGGCCACACCAUCCUGAAUGCGCCCGGUGUUGUCUGAUCUCAGAAGCUAAGCUGGGUUGGGCCUGGUGAGUACUUGGAUGGGAGAAUGUGGAUAAGCAAAAUGUUAGAACCA